GACCCCGUCGUUCAGUGGCCUAGGACACCAGACUCUCACUCUGGAGACGGGGGUUCGACUCCCCUCGGGGUCACCA
rnacentral:tRNA from 3 species